AUUGAACGCUGGCGGCAUGCUUUACACAUGCAAGUCGAACGGCAGCGCGGGCUUCGGCCUGGCGGCGAGUGGCGAACGGGUGAGUAAUGCAUCGGAACGUGCCCAGUAGUGGGGGAUAGCCCGGCGAAAGCCGGAUUAAUACCGCAUACGACCUGAGGGUGAAAGCGGGGGACCGAAAGGCCUCGCGCUAUUUGAGCGGCCGAUGUCGGAUUAGCUAGUUGGUGGGGUAAAGGCUUACCAAGGCGACGAUCCGUAGCUGGUCUGAGAGGACGACCAGCCACACUGGGACUGAGACACGGCCCAGACUCCUACGGGAGGCAGCAGUGGGGAAUUUUGGACAAUGGGGGCAACCCUGAUCCAGCCAUGCCGCGUGCGGGAAGAAGGCCUUCGGGUUGUAAAACGCUUUUGUUCGGGAAGAAAUCCUCUGGGCUAAUACCCCGGGGGGAUGACGGUACCGGAAGAAUAAGCACCGGCUAACUACGUG
rnacentral:rRNA from 1 species